rnacentral:misc_RNA from 1 species
AAAGUCGUAACAAGGUCUCCGUUGGUGAACCAGCGGAGGGAUCAUUACCGAGUACUAUAACUCAUAACCCUUUGUGAACCUUUAUACCUGUUGCUUCGGCGGCGCGCCUCUCGGGGCGUGCCCGCCGGCAUUAUCAGAAUCUCUGUUCGAACCCGACGAUACAUCUGAGUGUUCUAAGCGAACUGUUAAAACUUUCAACAACGGAUCUCUUGGCUCCA